rnacentral:rRNA from 1 species
CCUGAGUACGACGGAGCACGUGAAAUUCCGUCGGAAUCUGGGAGGACCAUCUCCUAAGGCUAAAUACUCUCUAGUGACCGAUAGUGAACCAGUACCGUGAGGGAAAGGUGAAAAGUACCCCGGAAGGGGAGUGAAAGAGAACUUGAAACCGUGUGCUUACAAGUAGUCAGAGCCCGUUAAUGGGUGAUGGCGUGCCUUUUGUAGAAUGAACCGGCGAGUUACGAUCUGAUGCAAGGUUAAGCAGAAAAUGUGGAGCCGUAGCGAAAGCGAGUCUGAAUAGGGCGAAUGAGUAUUUGGUCGUAGACCCGAAACCAGGUGAUCUACCCUUGGUCAGGUUGAAGUUCAGGUAACACUGAAUGGAGGACCGAACCGACUUACGUUGAAAAGUGAGCGGAUGAACUGAGGGUAGCGGAGAAAUUCCAAUCGAACUUGGAGAUAGCUGGUUCUCUCCGAAAUAGCUUUAGGGCUAGCCUCAAGUGAUGAUUAUUGGAGGUAGAGCACUGUUUGGACGAGGGGCCCCUCUCGGGUUACCGAAUUCAGACAAACUCCGAAUGCCAAAUAAUUUAACUUGGGAGUCAGAAUGUGGGUGAUAAGGUCCAUAUUCGAAAGGGAAACAGCCCAGACCACCAGCUAAGGUCCCAAAAUAUAUGUUAAGUGGAAAAGGAUGUGGCGUUGCCCAGACAACUAGGAUGUUGGCUUAGAAGCAGCCAUCAUUUAAAGAGUGCGUAAUAGCUCACUAGUCGAGUGACACUGCGCCGAAAAUGUACCGGGGCUAAACAUAUUACCGAAGCUGUGGAUUGUCCUUUGGACAAUGGUAGGAGAGCGUUCUAAGGGCGUUGAAGCAUGAUCGCAAGGACAUGUGGAGCGCUUAGAAGUGAGAAUGCCGGUGUGAGUAGCGAAAGACGGGUGAGAAUCCCGUCCACCGAUUGACUAAGGUUUCCAGAGGAAGGCUCGUCCGCUCUGGGUUAGUCGGGUCCUAAGCUGAGGCCGACAGGCGUAGGCGAUGGAUAACAGGUUGAUAUUCCUGUACCACCAUUAUUCGUUUUAAGCGAUGGGGGGACGCAGUAGGAUAGGCGAAGCGUGCUGUUGGAGUGCACGUCCAAGCAGUGAGAUUGAGUGUUAGGCAAAUCCGGCACUCUUAAGAUUGAGCUGUGAUGGGG